rnacentral:rRNA from 1 species
UACGUAGGGGGCAAGCGUUUGUCCCGGAAUCAUUGGGCGUAAAGAGCGCGUAGGCGGUCCGGUAAGUCCGCUCUGAAAGCCCGGGGCUCAACCCCGGGAGGCGGGCGGAUACUGUCGGGCUAGAGUCCGGAAGAGGCGAGUGGAAUUCCUGGUGUAGCGGUGAAAUGCGCAGAUAUCAGGAGGAACACCGAUGGCGAAGGCAGCUCGCUGGGACGGUACUGACGCUGAGGCGCGAAAGCGUGGGGAGCAAACAGG